AAUUAUUCAAGUAUGUUGCAAAGGAGCAAUCCCCUUAAAUUGGUGAAAAAGGUUGGUAGGACUCAUUCGUUUAGGGUAUUAUUAACCCUAUCCCACAGUGAUAUAUGUUGGACAUGAUGAUUGUGCAAUAUAAUUAUUAAGAUAAUUCCACAGAACCACAAGGAACUAACUACACCAAAGCUCUCAAGAAAAUAGUUGCCACUGGUUUUCUAGCUCCAACCCAUAAGACCAGAUGCCCAAAGUAUCGAGAAACAUGAUUUGAUUCGGAUUCGACUAAGACCAAAAUUUAGAAGCAAAUUCACAUUAAUAAAAAAAAUUAUGGAGACCAAGAAACUAGGAAAAAUCCAUAAGACUGCAUGGUUGUUGAUUGUGUCCUGAAACAACCACAAAACUAAGCCGGAACUUGCUGUUAAUUUCUUUAAGAGGUGAGGAGAGAGUAGAGUAGCAUGACAGGGGAAUAGGAUGGAGACUAGAAAUUUAGAUCGGAUUAAAUUCGGCACAAAUCAUUUACUUGUUACCUUGAAAGUAUUCAUGACAGUUAAAGAAUUGGUCGAAAAAGAUGUAUCCUAUUGCCUGCAAAGUCUUAUUAAUGAAUUUAGCAUAGUUGACAGAAGCACCAUGAACGUACCUGAAGUGACGUCUCAUUGAUUGGUUCCAGAGGCCCAUGGAAGAUCAUACCAAUUGGAAUGUAAACAUCUCCCAAGCAAACAGCACUUGUGUGCAAAAACUAGUACAUUUAUAUCUUAGACGGUUUAAGAGAUAAUCUGUGAGACUAUUAUAAAGAAUUUGUAUUUGUCUAUGAUUAAAAUAACUUCACCUGAAACAAAAGAGAUUAUGAUGUCAGGAAUAUGUUCAAAGAAGAUUUAAAGGUUCACCAUUAAUAGUGCAAAAGGAUAAGUAGACCUUAAAAGGAAACACUAAAAAGAACAAAAUUAGAUUUAAUGAUUCUUCAUUGACUAGUAAAAUUCUCUCAAUCGAACAAGUCAAUCACAAUAUAUUAAUGGCACUAGUUGGCGAUCUUGCUUCUUCAUCUACCUUAACUAAGUUUUAUUGAUCAUCUCUCUAUACAUGAACCUGAGAUCACAAACAUUUUUAUCAACCUAGAGGCCCAAAACGAUGUCAUUGUUUGAGUUGCUUAUGGAUCAUGCAAGGAAUUAGAUACAAUCUAGUCUGGAAGAUUGGCAAGGAAGGAGAUCAAUGCAUUAGGACCUGCUGCAAUCUAAAUUCUUAAACCUAGCUUAAUCUUGGUAGGUUAAAGAAUUACAUAAUUUUGGACCGAUCCACCUAUAGUUUCAAAAUGUGGAUCUACAUGCAACAUUGCAGGUUGGAUCAGAGUCAUGUUCUAGAUUAUAACAAGUUCAGAUAAAGAUUCAAGAAUUGUACCCUGAUAAGAUAAAGAGAUCCAAAACUAGGAUCUGUGCUUGAGAUUUCAGAUCAGGCUUCAGAACGUCAGGCUCCAUUAACAUCCUUGAUCCAAAUUCAGAAGUUGCCUCACAACCUCGUUCAAUCUACAUCCGUCAUGGAGAAAGGGGAAAGUUAGUGAGAUAUAACAUGAUCUUUCAUUUUGGGAAUCAAAAUGAAUUCAUCUCAUAAAAUUGCAUACAUGUAGGUAGAAUAAAUCUAUACUCAAACAAGAUCCUAAAGAUAGAUUUGCCUCCAUUGAGAUCCAAGAUUAAGAGAUCCAAAAGUAGGAUCUGUAGGCUUCAGAUUAUCAGGCACCAUCAACAUCCUUAAUCCAAAUUCAGAAGUUGCCUCACAUAUUCGGUAGAUCUACAUUUGUCGUGGAGAAAAGGGAAUGUUAGUGACAUAUAAAAUGCUCUUGCAUUUUGGGAAUCAAAUGAAUCCAUCUUAAAGAAAUUGCAUAUACGCAGGUAGAACAAAUAUAUUAUCAAACAAGAUCCUAAAGAUAGAUUUGCCUCAAUUGAGGAGUAUUACCACAUUGUUUUGCGAGAUUAAUACAGCUCCCUCCUCAUGAAGAUACUACUCACCGCCAUCGAGUUAAGAGCAGGAAAGAAGAGAAUUCUGUGGUAUGCAACUAAGACAAGGAUCCACAAUUGUUUAAUCUGUCUCGAUCAGAUGCUAUGCAUGUUCUCCUUGGUGAAUGGAGGAGGGAUCAUGUAGACCAAAAGAGAAAUUCUUGGUCCAUCAUAUCCAUGAUAGAUCAGUCCAAUCAAAAAAGGCAAUAAUUUUCUGAAAUAAUGGACUUAUUAAUUGAAUGUAAAGAAAUUUAGAGAUUUGACUUGUGUAGAGAAAAGGAAUUUCUGGUCUUAUAUUUAUCCCAACAAUCUAAAUUAAGAUCCAAGACACUAAUUUAAUCCAAUUCAGGUUAUCCCAAACAAUGUAAAGAUGACAUACUCAUUUCUUGACAAGGUUUGAUUUCCGUAUACCACAAAAACUCAUAACCUAACACACUUUGUGUAGAGAAAAGGAAUAUCUGGUCUUAUAUUUAUGCCAACAAUCUAAAUUAAGAUCUAAGACACUAAUUUAAUCCAUUCCAUAUUAUCCCAAACAUGUAAAGAUGACAUACUGAUUUCUUGACAAGGUUUGAUUUCCGUAUACCACCAAAAUUCAUAACCUAUCACACUAUGUGCAGAGAAAAGGAAUUUGUGGUCUUAUAUUUACACUAACAAUCUAAAUUAAGAUCUAAGACACUAAUUUAAUCCAUUCCAUGUUAUUCCAAACAUGUAAUCAUGACAUACUUAUUUCUUGACAAGGUUUGAUUUCCGUAUACCACCAAAACUCAUAACCUAACACGCCUUGAUCUAUUAAGACAAACAAGAUAUAGUUUAUGUGCCCACCUGAAAAUGAUGUGUUUGACAGAGUGAAUCUGUAUUGAUACGGAGCAAUGGCAUCAGUCAUUUCUUUCUUUCUCUCUUUCUCUCUGUUACUAUUUCUUUAACUGCGUCUGCAAUACUCCAAUCUCCUCCUUUUUUCGGUGACUUGCAAAAAUUCAGAUAUAUACAAUUAAUCGUUAGUUUCGAAGUUCUUUCAAUGUUAUAGCCAAAAGGUUAUACCUAUAGGAAGUGCGAUCGAUGACCGAAAAAGAGAAGAGGGGACGAAAGAGAACCAAACUCGAACCCACGGUGUACCAAAUCAUGAUCAUCACCAAAACAAACGAAUUCGGCAACAUGGUGAUCUCGGAUAUACCGGAUCGUAAGCAUUCCAAGAGUUCCAGGAGCUAAACCCAGAAAGGGUACCGAAGAACUACAAAAUCCCAGGCGGCGGUGAACAAGCGCAAACCACAGAUUGGAGCAGCUUUCACGACGAAGUGCUGCCAAUCCCCAUCUCUCUCCCUCGCCAAAGAUGCGACGAAACGAAAACCAAGAUCCACCCGAUCUCACUUCCCGACAACGCUCAAAGAAACCAAAACGAAUCGACCAACCACCACGCAUCAAGAAUCAAGAAACCACAACGCACAAGGAAACCAAAAAAUAAUCGAGAAGAAAGGGUCGAACCUGGGCGCUCCGACCCAGCUUCGACAAGGCACGAGAGUGUCCAACCUUCCUCCGGCAUCGAUCUUGGUUUUGGCUGGAUCCGGGUCCCGGGUGCCAUUGAAGGAGACACCCAUCGGCCCCCGCUUCCCUCCUCCUCCUCCUCCUCCGCCUUCUCUACCAGAACUAUGGAUCUACGCUGCGACGAUCGAAGACCUACACGCCCCGCUUGGGAUCCCAUCGGUCUCCCUUUCGACUCCCAAUUCGUCGUCUCACUUCUCUCCGUCCCAACCGCCUCGGUCACUUCUUUGGGUUGGUUUCACUUACUUAUAUCUGUAAACGUUUAAAAAAUAACAUAUUUGCCAUUGCAAAUACGACGAUUUUUAAAGUAAUUACUCAUAUUUUUAAUUUUAAAUUAAUAUAUUUAUUUUACUUCUAUCCAAACAGUAUCGCUGAUUUAAAAAUAUAUCCAAACUAUCGUUUAUUUACAGUAUUUUUUGCCUGUUAUAUUGUUUUGACAGUCAUAAUAAAAACAUCAUAAAUGAUUUAAAUAUAUUUUUAAUCUUAUCCGGACUAACUAUAAAGCCUAAAACUAUGAUAUUGUAAUGAUAUAUGAAUAAUAAUAAUAAUUAAAAGUUAUUAUUUUUUAAUGACAUUUAUAGUGUUUUCAAUAUAUUAAUAAAACAUCAUAGAUAUUAUUUAAAAUAUUAUAAAUGAGUAAAAAAAUACUGUGAUAGUUAAAAUUUGAUUAAAAAAUAGAUAUACAUUUUGAUGAGAAAACUUUUGAGAGGUAUUUUAAGUAUUUUAUAAAUUAAGGAUAUUAUUUGAAAAAAAAGUAAAAGAUCUAAUACCUUUUGAAUAAUACCCAAAAUAUAAGCAUUUUCUAGCGAAAUCACCUUUUGCAAAUAUUAAUAUCCUCCUUGAUCCUGUUAAAGUCCAUGAUUAGUCAUUUUUCAAUUAUAUUAUUAUUAUAGACUUCAGAUAGAUUAUAUAUAUGCAACUUAGAUUGUAUUAUGUAUUCAUGGCCACCUGUGGGCUCUCUCUCUCUCUCUUUGUGUCUGUGUAUUGAAUAAGUAGGUAGGUAUUUGAGUCCCCGUUUCGAUAUAAAGGUUAUUAGCAAUAAAUUUAUUCAUGAGUGAAAGUAAUUAUAAGUCUUUAUAUUUCUCAAAGUAUGGAGUCACCCAUAAGUAAACAAAAUAAUAAUAAUGGCUACUCAUUGAUUUGCCUGUGAAUUUUUUUAUUCCUUUUUAUGUGAAUGGGAUAUAGCUUUCCAUCUUAGUUAGUAAAUUUUAUAUUUAAAAAAAAUAAAUUAAUAUUUUUAAUUAUUUAGGAUCGAUUAUAUAAAUAAUUUUCAUAUAUUUAUAUCAUUAUGUAUGAUUGGAACUCGUUUCAUCCUAAUGUGUCAUCUAAUAGAGUAGCAAAAUCAAUAAUAACACCUAAUAAAAUAUGAAAAUUUGGCAUCAAUUUCUUUUUUUAUUUUUUAUUUACUUUAUUCUUAUCUUAAAGCCUAUAUAUUAAAUUACAUAAGUUCAUACUUCAAAGACUCUUAAGUGAGAUUUGUUUUAAAUUUGUGAUUUGUUAUAUUUGACUUCAGACAAUAUGAUAAAUGCCCUUUAUAUGAAUUUGUGGGCUCCACUUAUGAACACACCCCCUAUGCUACAAAAAAAAAAAAAAAAAAAACUGUGGCCUAAACAACAUUCCCAUAUCAAUACUAUUGAUUUUUUUUUAUUACUUUUUAUCGUGAUUCAAGAAGAAAAUAAAUUUUAUAGUAAGUAUGAUUUAGUGAUACCUUAAACAAGUUAGAAUUUAGUUGUUGGAUCUAAAUAUAUAAUUUGCACAAUGAUUUCAACUUUUUUUGUUUAAACAUAUGAUAUCGAUACAAUUACUGUUUGUAGUCUAUAUUUUAACAUCAGCAUUACCAAAUAUUACUCAAUCAAAAUUGACAUACUUAUUCCAUCUCAAAUAUUUCUUCGUUCGUAUGUAUAAACACCCGUAAUGUAAUACAAAAAAUUUAAAAAUAUAAUAAAUAUUGUAUUUGAGAAUACAAGAUACAUAAAAACAAUUAAUAAUAUAUUUUAAACAUCUCCUCUCACGAGUAAAUCGAUUAGGCUUGAUGUAUGAAUGAAACCUAAGUGUAUGCAUAUGGUAUAAGUUAAUAAUUCAUGUAAGUUAGAACCACCUUGUAACCAUCAUUAAUAUAUUAUCAUAAUAAAUUAAGUUUGAUGUCAUUGCACACCUAGAAACAGGCAUGAACUUUGCCAUCUUACUACAAAUUGGCACCUUAAAUACGCACAUAAUGCAUACAGUCCUCGAUUCGUAGAUUGCCAUUUAGAUCUCCAAUGCUUGGUGCUUCGACUAAAACAAGAUUGACGACUAAAUUAAUCGUCCAAAGCACGUUAGAUUUAGAUCCGUAAUCCACCAUAACCUAACGUCGACAGCAACAUAAUAUAUAUGCUAUACCUACCCAUGCAACCUAAUGAAAAUUAGCCAAAUUGCAUUAAAUUAAGCUAACCACCAGCCCACAUCACAAAAGGCCAUGAAACCUUUGCGCUGGCGAAGAAAAAGGAAGAGAGAGGUUUGCAUGCAGCAGUGACUUGUCACUGUCCCUCCACCGUAGCCCAGCGGCAGAUAAGAGGAGGAGGUGAGGCAUGCAGCCGAGGGAAUGCUUCACGUGUAUCAGUAGGAAGGAGAAAUGGAUCUUUCUGUGCAUGGUUAAACAUCCUUUUCCGUGGAAAGCUUGCGUAUCCGUCCAAAGUCGACCGUCUUCCAUGUUUACCGAUGUGUAUGAUCACUGCUUCCGAUGCUGCAGCUUGGGAUUAAUCAAGGUGGAACAGUUGUGUGGAUGACAUCGCCAUGUCAGAUCUAGCUGGCUAAUUCACCAAGAUUUAUUUCUCUGUCAAGGUAGGUGCUCCUGCAGCUAAAGUAGAUCUGGGAUUAAGAUCUACCUGUGCACCACAGUGGCCUCCACAUGGUGUGUAAUUCUAGCUUCUACUUCUACCCCCUCUCCUGUCAUCAUCAUCAUCAUCUUCUUCUUCUUCUUUUCUUUAGCUGAUCUCACACAUGACUUGGUUCUCCUUAGAGUUUGAAGAAAAGUAAGAAAGACAUGAUAUAUCUUCAAAGUCUGGCACAGUCACAUGAGCAGCAACAGCUAAAGAAAAUACAACCACUUGUGAAAAGAGAAUACCUAAGAUCUGAUCCAUGGAUAAGAUCUACAUGAAGGGUUCACUGAGGCAAGAAAUCAUACUUUGCUCCAGAGAGAGAGAGGGGGAGAAGUAAGGGGGACGACAGCGUGAGUUGGGUCGGGAGGACACAUCCAAUGGUGGACACUGUGCAGCUUCUGACGUCUGAGCUGCUCCGUGAAUGAUUGCGAGACUUUUUCCGUGCAGUUGCAGUAACAUGGUGGGACCCGCGGUGGUCACCAUCUUUAGCUACAGUUUUAACCAGCGGGGUUGGGUUGACCCACCGUCGAUGAUAUCUACACCCAUCACCUUCACAGUCCCACGAAGCCCCUGAGCCAUUCAUCGACCGCCAUUAAUCGAUAGCUUAAGGUUGAAGCCUGCGGUGCAGAUCUUGAUGCCCUCCUUGGAGGGAGGAGUAAAGCAACAAAACCCUAGGGGAAGGAGAAACAAGAUUUUCCAAGUUGAUGGGAUUUGCAAGAGCUAAAACCAUGGAAACGGAGGGUGAGAUGUCCUUUUGUGUUAUUUACUUAAGGAGAAGAACUACCGAAUAAUCACGAAGAAGUAUUUGAUGAGAUGUCCUUUUUGUGUUAUUUACUUGGUAAUUAAAUUACAAAGUAAGUAGAUUUAAGCCACACAGGGAUGCAUCAUGACGACGAGUUCACGGGCACAGACAUUAUGAUGUGGCCAUGAUGCAUUCCUAUUGGUCGAGUGAGAGGAAAACUACGUUAUCCUCUUCUUCGUUUGCUUGUUAACUACUCCCCCAUGGGCAAGAUGAUCCUUCUUUAUGUGACGGUGGAGCCCAUGGCCACACCGUCUGUCUAUGUCUAUGGGGUUGAGAUGGAAAUGGAUAAGAUCAACACAGCUACUGACUCAUUACGGCUCCCCCCAAUAAAGAAUUAGAGGUGUGAGGACAAAUUCUUAGGGAAACGUUUUCCCGAUAGUAUCUUUUAUUUUUAUUAUUUUCUAAAAACAAUCUCACCUUUUAUAUUGAAUAAUUUAUAUGAUGAUUCGAUUCACCGUCAAAAUUCAUGGUUAUUUUUUUUUUAAAAAAAUAUAAUUAUAUUUUAAAUUACUGUGUAAUUUUUCAAUUCGUGGCUUAAUUCGCGCCUUUCUCAACCGGUGGAUUCGCAUCGCAAACUCCAAAAAUGGGUCGAUAAAUAGAAGAGUUAUUAUUUUAAGCCAAUCGAGAAAUCUCGGUCCACCUACGCGCGGGUCCCACCCGACCCCACCGGUCCAAUGUCAUCCGCCUACACUUGCUUGCUUAUCCAUCUCUAAUAGUUUAUUCGCUCGAUGCCGGCGCGGUUUAGUUACCUAAUCCCCGGUGGGGCCCACUCGGUUUAUCCGAUCGACGGAGCCCGUGAAAGUCUAAUUACCCCCCGCCAGCGUCGGUGCCACGUGUCGCCCUAACGUGCUCGCGGUGCCUUGUAUUCGGGACGUCCGUUGCGUCACGUGCUUCGUCCGUGGCCGUCCACCUAACCCCCUCGUCUUUUUCCCCUCCCCCCCACCUUUUUCUUUUGCUCGCAUAAACUAAAAUGAUAUUAGUCCCCAUAAAUCCUACAAGGGAACGUGCGCGUGCAUAGUUUCUAAUGUCAUAUUUGCCCCUUUCACAUUCAAUGCGUGUGCCAAAUCGAGUCGAAGAUAUUUAAAAUGUUACAAUAGCUUAAUACUCAAAUUACUUACAUCGGACGGAUAUAAGUGUAAUUUUGCCUACAAGAAACGCGGGACCUGGAGCACGUGCCCCGGGUACGUGGGGCGUCCUCGGAUCCGACAACGGUUGGGGCCCACUCCCUGAUGGUCCACUCCUCGCCUGAAUUGGCGCCAGCUCAGCGUCCGGGUCAGAAUCAUUGGUCCCUCCGUCCCUUUUUGCCUUGUACCGACAACCAACAUGGGUUGGAUAAGGGUCGGACGCACCCGCGAGUCCACCACGGGUGGAUCCGAUAAGUUCCGGCGAGAAAACCCACACGGGUGUGCUGAUCGGACUGGUCGCAGGGGUCCGAAACGGAUUCGAUAAAAGAUCCGAGUAGGAAAAGAAAAUGUUUUUUUUUUUUGGCGGGGUGGAAGCGAUGUCGGUCGGCGGUACUUGUGUUGUGAGGGUCGCAGGUCUUCAUGGAUGUAUUUUUGUACCCAAAAAUAACGUCACUCGACAUGGAUUGAUGAUGCAAAAAAUGAUAUAAAUAUUUUAUUUAGUGUGCAAAAAAAUGAAAAUUUAGAAAAGAAAUUACUAUACGAAAAAAAUCUAAAUUUUCAGAACAAGAAUUAGAAAACUGUAGAUAUGAAUCAGCCUGGAAACUGACACGGGUUAUGUCACCCGCACAUCCCGCUUGGUUGGUUCCCUCCCACACGUCAGGUAUCAUGUCACGCUUAUAGUAUUCUCUCCUCCUUUUCAUCACUAAAUAUAUACGCAUACUUUUGAAGUGUUCGUUCGUAACAACAUAAAGUCAACAAAGGGAAAAACAUGGCACCAGCUGAGCUCUGAGCUCUGAGCUCUGAGCUCAUCGUACAAGUGGAUAAUUACUUGGAUUAAUGCUCACUGUGCAUAUGUUGUUUGCAACCGAGGAUGAUCAACUUUCGAUUACGUUCGAUUGAUUCCAGUUUUUUUUCUGCCAAAAAGUUGAGAUUUUUUAGUAGUUGCCAAGAACAGAGAGUUAAUACGGUGGCAGUAUUUUGGAGGAGGAGGAAGAAGAAGCCAUCGGGAGGGAGGAGGUAAAACCGGGAAUGGGGAGGUGGUUUUGGGGUGAAGGAAUCGAGAAGAGGGAGGAGACACCAACCAAUUCCUCCGUUAAAGAAAGCUAAAGGUGGGGCCUUUUGAGAGUAUAAAAUGGGCUGCAGAGGGCCGCUCUUCUCACCAAUCCAUCCCGACUCCGUUCACUCCGUUUUCUUGAUCUCCACUUUGGUGCGUUGCGUUUCUUUUCUUUUCUUUUCUUCCUCUUUUAGUCUUCCCCCCCUUCUUCUUUCUUUUCUUUGUUUUUGAGCUCUCGGGAGCUCAGUGGCUGUUUCUUUUAGCUCGAAACUCUGUCCUCGCACCAUCUCCGGAGAUCAGAUCUGUGAGUGUUGCGGAUUGCAGCCGAGUUGCUGCAGGAUUUUUCUUCUUCUUCUUGCACUAAUCUGCGUUUUGGCCAAACCUCUGGCGAAAAAUCCGACCUUUUCUGCGCCGAUCUCUCUUGCGUAGAGAAGUCCUCCUGGUUGUCAUGCCAAAGAGGCACCAAAGAUUUCUGUUCUGUUGGUAGGGUUUAUGUUGAUCUUGCCGAUAGUUCAUGCAACAAAACCCACCCGCAAAUCUGGGGUUUGACUCCUUACAGUAAUACUCAUCAGAAAAAGAAGUGAAAACUACGGAUGUUAAUGCAAAACCUCUUAGCUGAGUUCUUGGAAGCAUGCAGGCAAAGAAAGUUGUUCCAUGUUCUUGUAGUUACAAGACGUUAGGAGGAAAAGGGCCACUUCUCGAGUGUGUGUUCUUAGACCCAAGGAUGCUGAAAUCCGGCAAACAAGUCUUAAUGCUCCAUUUUUCCUCUGCAGAUAACAUAGAGAAAGUUGCAGUCCGUGCCUACUUUUCCCCACACAAAACUCAUCUCUUCCCACCGUCAAGUCAAAUACUCUGACUUCCAUGAACAUCAAGGAAAACUUCCCUUCCUAAUGUUGUUUUUCUGCAAUUUUUCCUCUAAUUGACGUAAUAUUGUCCACAAAAAUUCCAACUUGUUUUCACUUUAGAUGCUGAAGCCCCCCUGAGAAAACCUUAGAGAAGCCAGGAAGAAGCUGAGCUUCAGCCUGAAAACCUUUCUUCGUCUGUGCGUUACAACACUUUUCCUCACCCUUCUCUCUCUCUCUCUCUCUCUCUCUCCUCUGUUGUUUUCUGCUGAUCCAUUUAGAGAGCUUCUGUGUUUGUUUGUUUGGUCUAUGACAAAAGGAUCAGCUAAAGUUAUCAUUUCUCUGUGGAAUUUGCUCCUGAUAAGAUCUUCUUUCUCUGUGAUUCUAUAGGAGCUUCUUCUUGUUUUAGAUCUAAGCUGUUACCUGGUCAUGCACUCCCCAAGUAGACAUUUGAUUACAGCUGAGCUUUUAUUCUAUUAUGUUUUAUGUUUCUAAAUCCUCCUAUUUCCAAACUUAUUUUAACUUGGAUCUCAUUUAGUUAUAUCAGCCACUGACAGUGAGUAAAAUGUUAUUGCUCUUUUACUGCAAGUGAAAGCAUUUUUCUAGUUAUUUUAGAUUGUGUUUUAUGCCAUCAUCAAGAUUUCAACUCCAUGCUCUUAUUAUUCUGGGAAUAAAACAAGAUCCCUGUUAGAUAUACUGAUCUCAGUCUGAUAUGCAUCGAUCUGGUAGCAGUAUUAUCUGAUCACUGAUUUGUUGGGUUUCGCUGGCUGUGUUGUAUCUUAGGCUUUUGAAGGAGAUCACCGGUAGCAAUGCCUCAGCGCAGCUUGACCCGUGCUCACAGCGUCCGGGAGCGCAUCGGCGACUCUCUUUCUUCCCAUCCAAAUGAACUGGUGGCUCUUUUCUCAAGGUUUGCAACCAUCUUGGAUCUAAAUCCAUCCUUGAUGAAUUAUGAUGAAUGCUACAGAAGAUCACAUAUUGUCCUUUCGGAUUGGUGUUGGAUCUCUGCAUGCUUGCUCUAAUAGCCGAUAAGAAAGAAAAUUGGAAUCAUCCAUCGAUCUGUAUAAUUUAUGACUGUUCCAUGGCAUGUAAGCAUCAAAGAUAGUGUGAUCUCCAUCUAUGGACUGCUACCUAUCAUUUAUUCAGUGUCGAUCAUUAUCCUGUAAAUCCAAGUACUCAUGGCAGCUGAUUUGGUGGUUUAUAUGGCUAUUCACGAUAAAUCGUAUCUGAUUUCGCAUCAUCCUGCAGGUUCAUUCAUCAGGGAAAGGGGAUGCUGCAGCCUCAUCAGCUGUUGGCUGAAUAUGCAGCCGCCUUCUCUGAAGCAGACAAGGAAAAGCUCAAGGAUGGUGCCUUUGAGGAUGUCAUCAAAGCCGCACAGGUAUAAGUCGGACUGCCGCUUGUUCUUGCGAUCAAAUUAUGGUGGUUGCGUGUUUUCAUGACACCAUAUUUCCUCUAAUGCAGGAAGCCAUUGUCAUCCCUCCAUGGGUUGCUUUAGCUAUCCGUCCAAGGCCAGGAGUUUGGGAAUACGUCCGCGUGAAUAUCAGCGAGCUUGCCGUGGAAGAGCUGACGGUGCCGGAGUACCUGCACUUCAAGGAAGAACUUGUUGAUGGCAGGUAGGUGAUGCCAUGACAGAAUAUUAUCUAUCUUCUUCUUUAUAUAAUUUGAGGCAACUAUGUUGAUCUUGUCUUGCCUUUCUUGUGCCAUUUCAGCUCGCAGAACAACUUUGUGCUGGAGUUGGAUUUCGAGCCAUUCAAUGCUUCGUUUCCUCGUCCCUCGCUCUCAAAAUCUAUCGGGAAUGGAGUGCAGUUCCUCAACCGUCAUCUUUCUUCAAAGUUGUUCCAGGACAAAGAAAGCUUGUACCCAUUGCUUAAUUUCCUCCGGAAGCAUAACUACAAGGGCAUGGUACUUAUCUCUUCUCUAUAUCCUUUAUCAUGCAAUCACGAGGGGCAUAUGUAGUCGAUAACUAUAUGCCGAAUAGUUAGGAUUAAAUUGUUUAAAUCAUAGACACAGUUAAACUUAUUGGAGUGAUCAAAGUUAAUAUGUGCUCAUUCUUUGUAAUGCUUGCAGUCGAUGAUGCUGAAUGACAGAAUACAAAGCCUUAGUGCUCUCCGAGCAGCAUUAAGGAAGGCAGAGCAGCAUCUGUUGAGCAUCCCAUCGGACACGCCAUACUCGGAAUUCCACCACAGGUAAUCAAUAAUGUUUCCUUUUUUCUUCUUGUUUAAUUUUCUCCAGACUUGCAUCGUGUUUGAUCGGGCUUUUUCUUAUUUUGCUGAUUUUAGAUUCCAAGAGCUUGGCUUGGAAAAGGGUUGGGGUGACAAAUCUCAGCGCGUGUACGAGAAUAUUCACCUGCUACUAGAUCUUCUCGAGGCCCCUGAUCCGACCACCUUGGAGACUUUCCUCGGAACAAUUCCUAUGAUGUUCAACGUCGUGAUCCUUUCUCCGCACGGCUACUUUGCUCAAGCUAAUGUCUUGGGGUAUCCCGACACUGGUGGUCAGGUACAAUUGGAUCCUAACUAGUCUAGACAUUCAUCACACGAAAUGUGUUUCUCAUGAGGGCACUCGUCUGCAGGUUGUCUACAUUCUGGAUCAAGUCCGUGCCUUAGAAAAUGAGAUGCUACUGAGGAUCAAGCGCCAAGGGCUUGAUAUCACGCCUCGAAUUCUCAUUGUAAGAUUGGAAUGAGAUUAAAUGGGCAACUCCCACUUAGAGUUUUUGAGAAUAUAUCUCAAGCUCAUGAUAUCGGGUUAAUGCAGGUUUCCAGAUUGCUUCCUGAUGCAGUAGGCACCACUUGCGGGCAGAGACUUGAGAAGGUCCUUGGGACUGAACACACCCAUAUACUUCGAGUGCCAUUUAGAACGGAUAAUGGAAUUGUCCGCAAAUGGAUCUCCCGUUUUGAAGUGUGGCCUUACCUAGAGACCUACACCGAGGUAAACCUUAAUCACAAUACCUUUGUUUUGAAAUCUGAAAUCUCAAUGCGAUAAAUACGAAGAAUAUGAAUCUGCACUGUUGAACUUAUUCAUCAAGGUUUACAAUCCUUCCUUUUUUUUUGAUAGGAUGUUGCAAAUGAGUUGGCAGCAGAACUGCAGGCCACUCCUGAUCUAAUCAUUGGAAACUACAGUGAUGGAAAUCUGGUGUCAACUUUGCUUGCACAUAAAUUGGGAGUCACCCAGGUUGGAUAUCAUUUUCUUUUGUUUAGUUUGUACUUAACUGGUGCUUCUUACUCUCACUAAUCUCAUGCUAAUUAAAUCUGGUAUAAGCUUCAAAUCUCUCGGUCAUGCUCGUCUUCUUUCACAUGCAGUGCACCAUUGCCCAUGCGCUCGAGAAAACCAAGUAUCCCAACUCGGACAUCUACUGGAAGAAGUUCGAGGACCAGUAUCAUUUCUCGUGCCAAUUCACGGCUGAUUUGAUCGCAAUGAACCAUGCCGACUUCAUCAUCACCAGCACCUUCCAGGAGAUUGCUGGAAGGUAAUGAUCAGGCUGCAGAACUCUCGGUUCCAAAGUCUUGUCAUCUGUGAGUCACUAUUGGGAUCCUAAUGAAUUCUUUGUAUCUUAUUUGAUUUCAGCAAGGACACCGUGGGGCAGUACGAGUCUCACACUGCCUUCACUCUUCCUGGGCUCUACCGAGUCGUCCACGGAAUUGAUGUCUUCGACCCAAAGUUCAACAUUGUUUCUCCUGGUGCUGACUUGUCCAUUUACUUCCCGUACACCGAGAAGCACAAGAGACUCACUUCCCUCCACCCAGAGAUUGAGGAGCUGCUCUUCAAUCCUGUCGAUAACACCGAGCACAAGUAAGCACCUUUAUACACCAAGUCUAGUGUUUGAUGCAGUGGCUGACACAAAGAUCUUGCAGGGGUGUUCUGAAUGACAAAAAGAAACCCAUUAUAUUCUCCAUGGCGAGACUGGACCGAGUGAAGAACUUAACAGGUCUGGUCGAAUUCUAUGGCCGGAGUGAUCGCCUGAAGGAGCUGGCAAACCUUGUGGUGGUUUGUGGAGACCAUGGCAAAGAAUCAAAGGAUCUGGAGGAACAAGCAGAAUUCAAGAAGAUGUACAGUCUCAUUGAGAAGUACAAUCUGCAUGGGCAUUUCCGGUGGAUCUCUGCCCAAAUGAACCGAGUUCGCAAUGGGGAGCUCUACCGAUACAUUGCCGACACGAAAGGAGUUUUCGUUCAAGUACUUCUCUUCUUUCUGGAAAAAUGGCACGCUGUUACUUCUCGAGUUGAAGCUUCACUAACCUGCAUUUGUUUGCUUUGCUAUCCUUCAGCCUGCAUUCUACGAAGCGUUUGGGCUCACUGUCGUCGAAUCCAUGACUUGCGGACUGCCGACAUUUGCCACUGUUCAUGGAGGACCUGGUGAAAUUAUAGUGGAUGGGGUGUCUGGUUACCACAUCGAUCCUUACCAGGGCGACAAAGCUGCCGAAAUCGUCACAAACUUCUUUGAUAAGUGCAAGGAAGACCCGAGCCACUGGGACAAAAUUUCCCUAGGAGGGCUGCAAAGAAUAGAAGAGAAGUAAGAUCUUUUCCUCUUUGCUGAUGCUUUCUUGUUAUCCAAGAAUGCCCAGAACAAGGAAUUCUAAACCACUAUCUAACUCGGAUUAGGUACACCUGGAAGCUCUACUCUGAGAGGCUGAUGACACUGACUGGAGUUUAUGGUUUCUGGAAGUACGUAUCGAACCUGGACCGGCGUGAGACUCGUCGUUACCUCGAGAUGUUCUACGCCCUCAAAUACCGCAAUUUGGUAAAUGCCACAGGCCUGAAUUUGUCCAGUGAGAAGCUUAUCAUAUCGUCAUUCUACUAAUGUUUGUGUUGGGUCGAUCUUUGUUUUCAGGCUGUGUCUGUACCACUGGCAGUUGAAGGAGAAGCUGCGGUUAAUGGCGCCAAGUAGAACUGAGUGGGAAGCGUCGUCACUGUCAUCGCUGAGUUGAUCUGUCUGUUUACGAAUCAGAGGACUACAAGGGAGAGGCUUUCGUCGCGAGUUUUCGUCUCAAUUAACAUGAGCUGCUGCUUAGCAAAGUCAAAAAUGCAAAAAAGAUCGUCUUUUGAUGUUUUCAGAGUGUUGUGUAAGCCUGGAAUGCCAGUGUUCUGUUGCAAUAAAAUUAGCCUCCUUUUUCAUUACCAAAAUACUGAGAAUCGAGUCUUGUGUGCAUCGAGUUCUUGUUCCAGUAGACAGCACGUUUGCAUGUAUCAAGCACAAAUAGUAGCACAUAUGCCUGAACGAUGCAGGAAAGAUUAAUGAUCGGACGCAGGCAGCAUGUCUUGUGUGACAUUUGGCUUCAGGAUCACAAUAAUUCUAUUAAGCCACGAUGACACUCGAUCUUGCAAACAGAGGUAAACUUCAUCAUCAGAGGAAAAGUAGAUCAGAGUUGGCAAGUCAUUGACUUGUAGGUCGAACCGAGUCUAUGAACAACUGAUGCAGACAAGCUUAUCCAAUAGUAGUAGUAGCCAAAGGAGUUGUGAUCCUUCAUGGACUCAUCAGUGGUGGGUAGAAUCGAGAUCAGCUGACAGUACUGAUAGGAGAAUUGAACGGCCAUAGUCGAAGGCAUGAUUGAAGAGGAUUAGCACCUGCCCAAAAGCAACCCCAAAGAUUACUGUGAGAAGUUGACUAUAGCUUUGAAAUGUGCGUAUCUUUGAGAUCAUAUGGCCGACAACUUUGAGUAGAAGUCAAAAAACUAAUGGAAGGCAUAUAUAAAGCAGUGUAAAGUUGAAAUGAUUCUGAGAUGCUUUUUGUUCUUGCUCAAGUCUAAAGUUCUUCUGAUUAGUACCUGGAAAACCUUGCAGGAAACUGCAGAUAUAACUUGAGCAAACUGUUGAGGGAAUCCAAAAACUCAAGUUGUAGAUCUAGCAAGAUCUUAUUACUUUCAUACGAUAGGAACUCAGAUAUAAGUUAUGGUGACAUGAUAAGAUAAAGAAGACAUGAAUCGGACUUUGUGUUUCAGAUUCCAGAUGGAAACAAGAUAAAAUCCAUGACAUGGGAUGGACUCCUGCAACAAUGUUGAUCUGGUUUUCACAAAGAGACAAGGAGUUUGUGGGUGCUUGCCAACCUUCAGAAAGUGAAAAUGUCUGGAACAAGUUGCCGAUCUAUAGCUCAAUCACUGUGGGGAGAUUCUUGAUAAUGACAGCAGGGGAACUCAGCUGCAGCAGAUCACUGUGCAAAUAGUGGAAACCUAACUUACACCCCCUCUCCUUUCCUCUUCUCACUUUCUCUAGUCCGAGCAUGCUUCAAAAAAUUGACAGCCCUUUCAGUAUACAUCUACAGUUCCAUCUAUCUGUGCAUGAAUCUGCAUGGCAAGAAAAGGGAUAGAACUAUUUGAUUAGCUCAACAAAAGCUCCCCUCGACAUCUGAAGAGGCAAAAACUGCACUAAACAUCAAGAAACACUGGACACAAAAAGGUAGACCUGAAGGUCCGAGAAAAGCCAGCCACCCAAUUGGCAUCUUUGUUGGUCUCCCUGUAUAUGAUUGAUGCUGAUUGCAUCAAAAAUAUUAAGCUGUCGUCAAGGGAAUGGUUUCUUUUUGUUGAGAACCUCCACCAAGUUGGCAGCAUCACUUUAUACCAAUAGUCGUGUGAUUGCAACCCAUCCUUCACCAUGAAGGCUUCGCAGCUACAACCUGAGCUGUCCUGUACAAACCUGCCACCAGAAAUGAAAACAUCUGCUAUUAGAGUUCUUAAUUAAGAAACCCACACCCCUGUAUUAUCUUUGUAACACCAAGCCCCAUCAGUACUCGACUCUACAUGACACUAACUUGUUGUCUUACCCACGGUUUGCUGUACCAACCGAGUUGGUAUGGUAUGGGCGGUACGUAUCGAUCCGACUCGUCACUGAGAUACAGUUUGUCCGAAUCCACAUCAGCAGGGUCUUGGCGUACCAUGUGUCAGUACACCGGUAUAUCGGUGCAGACUGAUAUGUACCAUACCGAUAAAUCUCUGAGACGGGUCCGGUACCCGAAAUGACGAACCUUGGUUUUACUAAGUGCAAAACUUGUGAAGCUUGUGGUCUGGAAAGGCAACUACUGCUGCUCGUCUUCCCGUUCUCCUUGUCUGUUUUCAGUCAACAGUGGGCAGAUAUCAUUCUGCCAGAGCUAAUCUUGGGAGACUUGUGUCGUGGGGAAUUGUUGAGAUUGCUUGUUCACCAAAGAGGCCAUGGAGUUCUUUCUCACUUGUAGUGAGUGCAUGUUUCCUGCACGAGGAAAGAAACAACGUGGUUUAUACUCCAAGGUGGUAGCUUUUGCCAGCAAACUCUUAAGACUUACUACUUUGUUGGCAGGUGUGCAGAUGUUGAACCACUACAACUUUGCGUCAAUCCAUGUACCCUCCCAGCGAGUGAUAGGGAAGCUGCUUGCACUGUAAAAAUGUGAAUUUUGAUCAGAGUUUUUUCUCCUACAGGUGGGGUGUUUGAACUACAGGAGGGCAGCCCCAUUCUCCUGAAGCAUAGCUUUUCCAUCAAGUCACACAAAGGUCCGCAGGGAGUUCAAGCAAUCUAGCUGUUGAAACUCUGCAAAUCCACACACAAAAAAGAUGUUUCACCUUGUUAUCCACAACAAUGUUUGAUAAAAAAAUCCUCAAUACAGAUUUGACUACUUGAGAUUUAAACGAACAAAAGAUCCUUACCUCUUUAUUUGUUAGCAUAAGUAUUGAAAUUUUUUCAAGAAUAUUUCUAAGUAUUAGAAAAAAAUCUUAUUGGAUUCAUUACUCUUUCAUCUCCUCAAUUUGUUUACUUUUCUAUUGUAGACCCAAUCACUCUUAUUUUACUAUUAUCCUCAUGUUUUUUCUAUUAUAAAAAUUAUUUUAUAAUUUAUUUAAAAUUUAUCUAGUUUAAAAUUCUAUUAAAUCUAUGAUUCGAAUAAUUGAUCCACUGAUUCAAACAAUAAACCAGAGACUUGACUGACUUGAUGUUCGAUCUAUUUUAAUUACUGUGUUCAAAUCAAGAGAGAAAACUUGUCAUUGACUGAUAAAAAGUCAAACUUCUCUUUUUUUCCAUUUAGUUUUCCCUAAAGUGUCCAAAUAUGAAUAAGCUUCAAAGAUUCAGCAGCAUUGUUGAUUGAUUAAAAUAUUCAUCCCCAGUAUGGUUAAAUCGGGAAAUAAUUUUCACAAGUCAGAGAAAUGUACCUAAAAGCAGAGUGGGCCAACCAACAUCUCAUACAAGCAGAUAUUUAUCAAGAACGACAAAGAUUUCCCCAAAUCUUUAAGUGCCUGAGAAGAUGAUGUUUGUGGUGGAAUCAUUCAUUUCCUUCGAAAGGGUAAUAACUGGAGCCAUCAUUUAAGAGAAAAGACACCAACAUAACCAGAUCUUCAACCUGCAUUGAUCCAUACACCCUGCAAUCCAAUUUAAUCCUCAUUAUCAGUUGAAAAAUAUUCAAUAGAAUGAUUGCUUAUUAACAUUUAGAUGUUUUAUUAGUCAAAAGCAAACACAUGACACAAUAUCAUAUUGUUCCAAUACAGUGAGAUCUAGAACAUGAUCUAGUCAAUGCAAAACAUAAACUAGCAUGUCAGUGUUUAUAUCCAUGCUCACUGAACAAAUUUCGGUAUACAAAAUUAACAAAUAAGAGCUUUGCUUUUGCUGUUUAAGAAUAAAUUUGGUAUAAUUAUGCAAUCAAGCAAAAAGGAAACAUGAGCAUUGUGAACAAAUCUUUGUAGAAGCUAAGAAGAGCUCUGCAUGUGCUGCUUAAAAAUAUUUACUUAGGUUAUCUAAAUGUAUGCAAUCAAGGACAUGGAACCCAAUAACAGUAGAUUACAAAAAAGAUUACUGUUGAAACAAGCUCAGUCAAAAGCUAACGAAGGAGAGCUAUGCAUGUGCUGCUUAAAAAUAGAUGUAUUAAAUUUAUGCAAUCAAGAAAUGGAAUCUGAAGUAUAGCAGAUUACCAAAAUGAAUGAUGGUGAAACAAGAUCAAGGUCAGAAGCUAACAAAGAAGAGCUGUGUGUGUGGUGAUUGAAAAUAUAGAUUACGGUUAACUAGAUUUAUGAAAUCAAGAAAAAGGAAUCCCAAGUAAAGCAGAUUACCAAAAAGACUAAUGGUAAAACAAGCUCACAGUCCCCACAAAGCUGGUCCCUUCCUUGAACCAAGGGAGAAGCAACAUCGAGUGAAAGUUAAAUAUAUCGAAGUCCCCACAACUUGCCUUUAACAAAGGCAAGAAAAAAUUAAAACCACUUUUAUUCCAAAACUGUCAGGAGAAAACCAACUCUUGUUUUUUGCCAAUCCCAAUGGUAGUCUCCAUCCAUAUGAAUCCACAAAAAAACUAAGCUCUCUCCACAACAAGCCACAAAAGUACAACCCUUGUUCUGACUCCUUUCUUUUAUUACCAAAGAUAUAGGCUAGAUCAAGAUGCAGCAUAAUAGACAACAAAAGAAUCUGCAACUGCUGUCUUGUUGUUUCAAUUAUCACUGAAAUAACCAAUGAUGCUAGUACAAAAGAUGCAAACUUGAAAGUUGACAGCGUUCACAGCACAUUUAGAUUACAUUUUGUCAAAGACCACCAAUCCCUUAAUUGCCACCCAUGAGAUUGCCUCUGGGUUUUGAAAGCCAUCUUUCAUCAAGCAAUAUCUAUGCUUCCUAGAUAACAAUUAACCAGUUUUAUAAAACAAGCAGACGCAAAUAAUUUAAAAUAUUAUCAUAGACAUAACAUUUGGAAACAUAGACUUGUAGGCCAAUAACCACUAGAAUUUGAAGCUCAUGAACCAUUAACAAUUAAGAACUAUUGAAGUCAUGGCAGACCAUUAGUAGGCAGUAUCAGAUCGAAUUCACAACAUAUAAAAAUAAUAACAAUACACAUUUGGUCCCAACCCUGCUAUAACCCCUUGUGUUCAUCAUCAAUCUCAUAAUGAAUCUGGUAAAAGCAACAGCAGAAUCUGAAAGAAUUGACUUAAAAGAAAGCAUUACUCAUCAGAAGAUGAGAAACACAUCCAAGAAACCACAAAGUGAAACAAUUCAUACAGCUACAAUCAAAGGUGUUCUUGAAGGCACUAGUGCAAAUCAAAUUACAAUGAAUUUAUUAUAUCUGGCUACUGUUUCCAGUUCUGCAUAUCCUUCAGCAAUAUUGAUUCCUGAGAAAGUAACAAAAUGUAAGGAAAAGCUCAUUUUCCAAAAUAAUAGUUACAUUUAAGCAUGGUAGAACAACCUAAGAUCAUAAAGAUAAUCUUACAUUUGUUCUUUUCUAGAACGACAAUGGCAAGGAUCAGAAUCCCUCAGUACAUGAUGCUCUAGUUGGCAAGUCAUCAAAGCUCCAAAGGUCCACAUCAUCCUGUACCAGUUCACCACCAAAUAAGCUGUCAAUCGAUGCAUCCAAACUACCCUCAAAGUAAGGCUCAGGGAGGAACUUCAUAUAUGGUUUGUAUUUCGUAAGCAGAUAACUCCUCUGAGAGUUUGGCUGCAGCAUUUUCCUCUGCUGGCACUGCCUCUUUAAAUUAUUAGGCUCCACUUUCUUCCACAGGCUGAUAUCAUCGAAUGAUUCAGGUUCAUCACCUUCAGUUAUGGUGGGAGCAAGAAUUGAUGUGAUAUCUGGCAUCUUGGCCUCAAGCUCCCAUCCAAUAUCUGUAUAACCAAAAGAAUUACUUCCCUGCUCUGAGUGGAAAUUCAGUCCGGUUACUUCUGAAGGUGCUGCAGGUAUUGUGAUAAGAGAAUCUGAGUAGUCAGGCUUGGUUAGUUCCCUGUCCUCCAUAAACCUUAAAUAGAGCUCAAGCUUUUGGUCACUCUGGUACUUAAUAGUUUGCUUGAAGUCAAUCGUCUCUGACACUUUUGGUUUUGAAACUUUUCGUGCAGUAGGUUUUGGUGAGAAUUUUGUUGAACCUGACAAUGGUGCAGUAGGGAAGUUCACCUUCUCUUUCUUACCCCAGAUUCAACAGGCUUCAACAUCAUAGGCUCUGGCAGCCUCUUCAGCAGUGUUAAAGGUUCCAAGCCAGACAUGAACCCCUUUGUGAGGAUCCCUGAUUUCAGCUGCCCACUUGCCCCAUGGGCAUUGUCGGAUUCCUCUGUACUGAUUCUUUUUUUUUUUAAGCUGAUUUAGCAGCAGAUCCAUUAAAAUUUACAGACUUGGUCAUUGAGCCCUCUGCAAACCAAACAAAAAUUUGAAGUGCUAUAGUAAAAGCUCUGAAAUGAUGAACUUGGAAUAUCCCUUUCUUGCAGAGUUCUCUUGAGCACCACCUUUUUCUAAUAACAAAGAGAUUUUCUUUUCUUUUGGUUAUAUCAAAAGUAUAAACUCUAUCUUACAGACUCCUUCCUUUGAUGUUUACUUUCAUCAUUCAUCACAUUAUAAAAAAAAAGGUCACCUGUAUUCAUUAUAGCAUUUGGUACAUGAUAUCAAAUUUAUAAGAAGUUAUAAAUUUAAUCAAGGUACAAGCAACAAUGUACAUCCAAACAUUUACUCGGUUAGACUAGCGAAGAAACAGUGAAACUAGUGAUUAGGUAGAUCAAAUCUCAAAUUAAGGCUUUUCUCCCAAAAAGACACACAGAAAUCUAAUACAAAUUGACUACCAGCAGUCCUCAUAGUCACUAGGUCUCUAUCUUUCUAUGCUAAGACAUCCAAAGAAUACGAUUUUGACUACCAGAGUUCCAGUAUCUCUCCAUUUGAAAUCACAAGAACAUCACAAGCAACAGUCAUGCACAUCGAUGUAAAUAUAACUAUCACAAAAACUUGUAUUUGAUCAAUGAAACCUUCAGAUCUACAAUUUAGUUGUUUCAUGUUACGCUUCCGGAUUUCCACAAUUCAUAAGUAACCUAGAAAUCGACUGUUUAAUCAUAUUUGUUUCUUCUAGUUUCUAGAUCGUGUAUUCGCAAUAACUCGUUAAUAAAAAUGAAAUCCAUUUCAUAGGAUCUAGCAAAAUAAUGGUAAAAGAUCAACAAAAAUAUGGACCUAACAACAUCAAAAUUCGAGGAAAAGAUCGCGUCUAAUACCUCGGGAAAUAAUGGAUUUUGAUCCAAAGGAGAACCGCAUGGCAUCGAACUCGUCCUCCUCGGACUCGUCGUUGAACUCCUGGAAGUCGGCCUUCCCCUCCUUCUGGUCCUCCACCAUGAGACGCUUCCCCCUCUUCGGCUUACCCGGCCACAAGGCGGGCGUCGGUAUGAAGUCAGAGAUGAUUGCAUUUCCGUACAUCCCCGGAACCCCUUCUUCCAAUGUCGAAAGCUCCCUCCUGUUUUGGUCUUUCCUUACCUGUCUUCUUUGUUCUCUGUUGAGAGGGAGGGUGACGGUUUUUAUAGGAUUGACAAUCCCUUGUUAUUGAUAAUUCUUUUAAAAAAAUAAUAAAAUAUUAUUUUAUAAUUUACAGUCCUUGUAAUAAUGAUUUUAUUUUAUUUUACCCCUAUAAUCUCGUAUUUUAUCUUUGCUAAUGCACUUAAUAUUGAGAAGAAAAUGAAAUAUAAGAGGAAGAAAAAAGGGAUGACGAGGAGGACGAAAAGAAAGAAGAAGAUGAUAAUAUUUAUGUUUCUUUUUAAAGAAAUAGUUUAAAAACAUUUAAAUGAGAUUAUAAAUAGUAAAAUGAGGAUAUAAAGAAUAUUUUUCUUUUAGCAUUUUUGAUUAUAUGUCUAAAAAUAUGAUAUUUUGAGCAUUUUUAUGAUAGUUCAGAAGACAUCAUCUUUUAUCUUUUGAACUAGUCUAUAUCAACUCAAAAAAUAUCAUAUCAUGAAUAUUUAUAUAAAUUGAUUGUAUAAAGUAGUGAUAAUUGAAGGUGUGUGAUAAAUACAAUUAUCAUUGGUAAUUGAGGGAUUAUAUUUGAUAAAAAUAUAUUUUAUUAUUUUUAGGUGAUUAUACAAAGUAAUGGGUUACCACUUGCAAUUUAGGGUAAUCUUUAAUUUUUUUUAAUCUUUACAAUUUAGGGUGAUCUUUUGACUACAGUUUGAAACUUUAGAUCACAUAAUUAUCCUUUAAAGAAUAAUAAUAUUAAAAUUAUUUGGACAUUUUAUAUCUUUUAAAAUUCAAACUAGCUGAUACUAAUCUCAAUAGAAAUAGUUAACCUAAGUCUUAUAUAUGGACAUUAAGAGGAGGGGUAUAAGUGAGAAAAUUUUAAUAUUUAAAAUUUAUAAAGACAUUUAAUUACAAAACAAGCUAGCUGAACACAAAUCAAAUAUGUGAGGGUUAAUAUAAUAUGUAUGUAUGUAUCUAUCUAUCUAUCUAUUUGGCUGUAUUUGACACCAAACCUAAAUCUUUAGGAUGCUGACCAUGGAAAUCAAAGAUGGAUGAUGAAACCUUUGACCUCAAUUCAUUACUACUAAACACAGCAAGUAUCAAGUGAGUGUAUAAACAAAAUGACAAGUGACUGGUAGCAAGAUGUAUUGAUGCUGGCACAUCAUGUCUAAUCUCAUUCAUCCCUCCAUCUACAUAUUUGUGGAUUAUGGAACCUUUUUGUCCCCAUCAGAAAACUUUUUGACUUUUGCAAAAGAAAAAGGUCAUUUGCAAAAGAAAUGCCAUCUUGACUUUUGCAUAAAGAAAGGGGGAAAAGGGAGUUCUUGGCACACCCACAGCCUACAAUUUAUGAAAGAUUUUCUGCAAGUCAAUUUGUGGAUUUAUUACAUAGAGGCUGCAAGCUCUGAUGCUUCAUAAAUGUGAUGACACAUGAAAUUAAUGUGAUGAAUGCUAAAAGAAUUCAGGAAGCUGGAGAGGUUGAGGACAGGCAGCUCAGUUGACUGCUGGCAGCAAGUUUGAGAUUCAUAAUGCAAUGCAAUUUGGUCAACCACUGAAGCAAAAGCAGCAGACCUAAUGACCCUUCGACCAUUGACUUGUUUUGUUGGCCUUCUUCGUCAUCCCUGACCUUGUCGAGGAAUUAAGAAGCUCCACUUCACCUCAUAUUUAAAUCUGCUUUCGUUGGCAGGAAACUAUGAGAUUUUCUGAGCUUCGAGGAUGUGAUGCAUCUCGAUGGAAGGAACACAUUUAAUUUGACCUGAAACUUCCAUCUAAAUGAAGCAAUGACAAGCAAGAGAUUAGUCAACCAAACCGACAUUGAUCCAACUGGAGGAUCUAUCUAAAUCGAAGCAAGAACAAGAAGAAAGGAAGCCUUUAGCAGCUGAAACAGAGUCAGCAACACGCAUACACCACAAAGAAGAGCAUCAGGUUUCAAUGAUCAACUAGUGAUAGCACAUGGGAAUGGGGAUGAUUAGAUGUGAUAUACAUCAUUUGAAUAUUCUAAUUACUAUGGUUUCAAGGUGAUUCGGUGCUCGAGGUUCUUACCGGUGCGAGGUGUAGAGACCGAUCAUGGUCCACGCAUGUGAUGUACCUCUGUGUGAGACAAUUCAUAGUGUCAGUGGGGUACCAAUCUGGAAGGUAUCAUUUGGCCUCAUGUUUCCCUCUGCAGCUUCGACCAGACACUUCAGAUUUCUCUUCACGGUCUGUGCUUUCUGUGAUGUCCACUUCCACUCGAAAUGGUCUGCCAUGGUGCCGAAGAGCAUGAAUUCCCCGUACACAUUCGCACGGCCGAGAAACCGUGAUCUACCGCAAUGCUUGCUCUCUGCAAACCAGAAAGAUCGCUGUCAAGAGACAGCAGAUGCUUAUCAUUUCUGUGGACGUCCUCCAGCUCAAGAACUAUACGGACCCACCGAUCACUGUAGACAGAUUCUGAGAGAAAAAUAAUGAGCUGACGGCAGUAAAAAUCUUGGAGGAGAUCUUGUCCAUCGAUGUGAAAUCUGGAAGGACGAUGUUGCAGAUCUUAGCUGAAACACGAACCUAACAGUAAUAAGAGAAAGGAAAACAAAGGCAAAUCAAUUUCAGAAGCAUCUGGGGAUGAUGAAUUCAUCCUCUCGUGGUGCCAAUCUACAAUAUCUCAGAACUAACAACAAAAAGGAAGCACGAAGAGUGAGAACAGGAGAUAUCCAUUAUCCCAAUCCCACCCGGAAACCACUCAGAACAUAGCAACAAAGAGAAGUAGAUAUGAAAGAAUGCUUGCAAACUCGGCAACUCAGAUCAAUGCAUGCGCUCAUGGUUCUAUCUUAACCACGGAGUUUCCCGUACAGAUUUAGUGGAAACCCAGAAUGCUAAGUCUUCUCCUGUCCCAGUGGAAGCAGAAUGCUGUAUUCAUGAACUGGUCGGAGCUUUUGAAACGGGAAGACGUCCCUGCUCGACAUCGCAUCCUCGAGGACCACAGGAAGCGCCGCCCGGCCUGCUUCCGCGGAUCAGAAGCCUUCGCAGCGACCUCAAUGUUGCUGUCGGCAGCGACCUUAUGUCUUCUUCGGAUGGCAUACUCGCAGGAAGGGGCGAAUUUGGAGCGUGGACACCCAGAGGAGUCCCUGAAGAAGACGCAGAAGAACCCGAACUCCCUUCUUGUGAUUCCGAAUCCUCUGAUGCACAACGCAGGACAUGCGCCGGUAUCUCCGGUGAGGUUUCUUCCGGAUGCGGGUCGCCGGGAACCAGGGCAGAGACGAAUUCGGAGUCUCCGGGCUUGUCCACCACCGCCGGGCUCCGGCAUAUGGGGCAGGUGGAGUGGGAGGAGAACCACGUAUCGAUGCAGUGGAGAUGGAAGGCGUGGCCGCACCUGGGCAGCAGCCGGGAGGCCUCCCCCUCCGACAGCUCGCAGAGGCAGACCGCGCACUCCAGGCCCUCCUUGCAGUCCCCGGCACGGACCACCACCGAGGGGAGCGCAGCGACGGACGCCGCAUCGAGGCCGCGCCGUUGCGGGACAGCCGCUGGCUCCGCAAAGCGGUCACGGCCGCCGACGGAGACCGGGAUGGCGCCCCAGUAGUGCUUGGCGCGGAGGUAGAGGAAGAAAACAAGGACGAAGAGCGCGAAGGAUGCGGCCACCCCCCCGACCAUGAUCCCGGUGGUCGCCGUCAGCGACGGCCUGCCUACUCCGCCCAUCGCCGGCCCUGUGCCCGACAUUGCAAAGCUGAAAUCAACGACCAACUUACAGGAUUUGGCCUAAUGGUCGCAGAAGCAACUUGUAGCAAUGUCUCAGUGAAGAAUCUUGGAAAUCUGCUCGGCAAUGGAGGAUAUGGCAGUAAAUCUAACCUCUGUAACAGAGGUUCUUUAAGGAAAGGUUGUCGAAGAGAGAGAGGAAGAGAGAGACGUUUUGCUAUUGCAGCUGCCGCUUCCUCUUCGAGUGGUGGUGGAUCUGUCGCGACGCACCUGUUGGGUGCGCCGUCGGUGUCUGGUUGCGUACACGUCCGUAGUGGGUUGUCGAAGAAGUACAAGUGCGACCUUAUUAGCGUCAGCAGGAUUCUGUCGGUGUCCCGAUGACUGAAUGCGCUGCAUGGCAACAUUGCUCGUGUCACUAUCUCCAGCGUACGCGUGUAUUGUUGCGUUCGUCGAUUAACUUAGUGAUGGGCAUUUGAUCAUUCGUCUGCCAUCGAAAGUGGGUCCCAGUUUGACGCCCAGUCACAGCCGGACAGGUAGGUCAGCUAGGACCAAGAUCGUCGAGUGUCUUCGAAGAGUCGAUUACUGAUACGACGCCUAGCGAGCGGACCUGUCCCUCGGCGAGCCUACUCACCGGCAAUGGCGGAUCCGAGAUUGGAAUCCGGCCACUGCUCUUCUUGGCAUCUCUCGUUCUCUACUGCGUCCUCUCGGCUCCUUGAAGAAGAGGAGUCUGAAGAACUCGAACUGCCUUCAACACUGGCUUGAAGGUUUAAUGAUGUUCGCCGGGGAAAUCCACUUGUCGAGCACCACAGGUCUCCGGCCGAGCGGGCAGGUUGAGUGGGAGCAGGCGCGGUGCCUCGCACUCCAACAGCUCGCGGAGGCCGCAGCAUGGAGGCCGCUAUACUGCUGCGAGACGGUGGCAAGCUCGGCGGCGACUACCAAGCGGCGCUGCGGUUGAAAGCACUGGGCGAUGACGUGAAUCCAGAGACUGAAGAAGACAAUGGCUGCUGAGACAAUGAAUCCGUUGGCUAUCGACACCGACUGUUCUUCUAUGUUAAACGCUGUUCUCGAUUGUUGAUGGAGGAGUCUCGUUGUCGGAGAGACCUAUGAGGCCCGUCUAUACAUAUAUAAUGGGCAUAAUCGGCCCACGAGGCCCGUCUUUCGGAACGGCCCGCAACCACCCCGUCGCCUCCGCCGCUGACUCCGCCAAUCAAAGAUCAAAGAAUUGCGAAUAAACCCUUCUGGUCUUCCCCUCCGAGAGAGCUUCAACAAGAGUUCCUCGACGCAGGAAUCCUUCGAGAGUCAAGGAAUCCAUAGAGAGAGAAGAGAAGCAUGCAGCAACCAGUGCAUCCCAUGACCCCAAUGGCUCCGAUCCUCACCGCCAACAUCACCACCGAAGAGAUUCAGAAGGUAAUCACCCCAGAACCGCUCCCACUUCCCGCCCCUUUUCCUUCCGUUCGCCUGGUUUGAACUCUAGGGCUCGACGCUCCGAUGCGUCGUCUCCUAUGUCAUCCUUUGACUAAUCGAUGCCUGAUUCCUUAUUUAUCUUCUUGGUCUUUAAUGGAGUGGCUGCGGAUGGGGAUGCCGACGUGUGUUUGGAGUUAUUGGGGGUCGAGCGAGGGCUACUUUUCUACGAUAAUUAACAUUAAAUCAUUAUGUGUGAGAUUUGGGCUAUAGGAGAACUUCUACAUGUAUAGUUGCUUAUCUUUGCCCAAGAAAAGGAAAGAGAAAAGGAAUAUUUGUCCUUUGCAAGUGUUUCUGGUUGUUAUAGUGUGCAUCUUUGCUCAAAGGUAUCUCAACUAAGUUGUUGAAGGCUUGUCCUCUUAUGUUUAUGUUUUUGUUCUUGUGCCAUUAUUUCUAACAUUCUGCUAUAAAUCAUUGUGGAGAUUGAAGUAACUUUUGUCUUCAUGGCAGUAUCUGGAUGAGAACAAGCAGCUGAUUUUGGCUAUUUUGGAAAACCAGAAUUUGGGGAAGUUAGCUGAAUGUGCUCAGUAAGUGAUUAACUUUCCUUUCUUUUUAUGGCUAUCUAUAGAUAUGUCACUAUUGUUCUUAUAUGUUGCCAUUUUACAAUCAAAUUUCAUCAAGUUUUACUCACAUAAUUCUUCUAACUGUGAAGUGUCGACUGAUUACUUCUGUAUGAUUUUGUUGAUUAAUGUGAGAAACAAAUAUAAUUAUAUGGAUGCUAGUCUGAUUGGUAUUUGUCUUGAUCCUCAGGUGAAGUAUAGUUUGGAAACAAGAUAUCAUUACGUUUUUAAUGGUUUUUUUAUUUAAAAUGUAGUUUCUGAUUAUUUUUAUUGGUGGUAUCUACUCAGUUUUAUUUUAUGUUUGGUUUGGUUGAUGCAGCAAACGAUCAUGAAGGAAAGGAAAAUAAAUGUUUUAGGCUUAGUUCUAAUUACUCUCUGCCAUAAAUUGUUCAAAACCAGUAAAAGUCAGUAAAAGUCGCACACUAUUGUUGGCAAAAGAUUGUGGAGUGCGUCGGAAAACAGAGCGAUCUUUUGGCUAUUCUGCUGUGGGCAACACAGAACAUCAAUAAUCUUUUGUAAGUACAAUUAAAAAAAAAAAAAAAAAAAGUAGUGAAAGAGGAUGUAGAAAUCUGAGAACUUUAAGGUGGGCAGAAAGAGAAGUGCAUCCUGACCCACUGGCCGAACACCUUAUCAAAUUUAACAAGGAACUAGGUGAUAAUCAACGUUUGAAACACAGCUGGUGGAACGAAAUUAGGAAAGUAUUGUGACCAUAUUAAAGGAGUGAAAUGGUGUUUUUUGAGAAGGGAAGUUCAUUAUUUGAAGGGGCUGAAUAUUUGUUUUACCAUUUGUUUAACAAAAUAGGCAUAAACACAUUUCGCAGAUGAAAACAAGAAUUUUCUGUGAAUUAAUGUAUCAUUUAUAUAUACAACAAAUUUGAUCAGUCGCUUUCUAUAGUUUCACACCUGAGUUGAUAAUACACCUAAAUUUCUCCAAAAGUUUCUGAAAACUGGUGAGGAGGAAUUCUAGACUAAUCAGACCUUAGUCUCUAACUAAUACAUUUAUUCAUUCUGUAAAUGACUCAUUGUACUUAUCAUGCAGAAAAUUAUCCUUUCUUUUUUUAAGAAGGGUCACCAGACCCACAAAGAGGAAAAGGCACCAAUUGUAAGACAGGAGAGAGAGAAGGGAAUAAAUUAAGAAAGAAAAGAAAGAGGAAAAUGUAGGGAGUAAUAAGAUAGAAGUGGGAGAAGAAAUUCCUAGUAAAGAGGAAGAAGAAAUUCCAGACUCUUUUUUCUUCAUUACCAAUAGAUAAGUUGCACACUCGGUAUUAGUCAUUAUGAUAUUGAGAGUUAGGAAAAAUGUUAUAAUAGGUUAAUGAUGAUCAGGUUGCUUGCUUUAUUGGUUAGUCAUAGGAAAUAAAUUGAUGUAGUUAAUUUUUGCGUGCCUGAAGCAUUAGUAGAAGAUGAGCGCAUAUUGAUCAUGUUGGAUAUUCUUUGAAAAGGAUGAAUACGAGGAUGCUAUCAACAAUUUUGAUGGUAGUCAUGGUGAUGCUACUACCAUUGCCUAUACUUAUGAAAGGAUCUUGCCACUGUACUUUUUCUUAUUGUUGAUAUAGCUGACCCAUAUAAUGUGGUGGGAGCCUCAUGUACUGUGUCACCCUUUUUGUACAGUGUGGUGGGAAAAGUCAGGCAGGCUGAGGGAUGAGGUUCUUGCACACAUGGUUACAUGGCUGAUACCUAAAUAAUAUCAUAUGCCAUAAGUUUUAAGGAGGAGGCAGUCUGUUGUGAUGUUGUGACGGUUGGGGAGACAUAAUGUCAAGUAGCAAGUGCAGCAGCCUUUGGGAUGUCAAUUGUUGUCCUUAUGAUUGUUGUAACAGUUGGUACUCCCAUCAAUAUCCUCACUGGGAUGAUGAUAAUGAUGAACAUAAGAUGUUCUGCUGCCAGGGAAUAAUUAAAGAGGACCUUGCACAAAGCACGUUGUACAACAUCAGGCCUUGCUUAACAAAUCCACGUUUUUCAGUAGAUCAUUAGCUGCCAAGGCCAUCAUCUAAUUACCAUGAUGUUUAAAUCGAUAGCAGAAUGAGGAUAGUCGAUGGUGUUGAAUGCCAUAACGAGAGUUCCCUGUUAUUUAGCAGCUUAUGGCUGAUGAAUGUUUCCCUGUGAAUAGAGAUGGAUCUGCAAACCUAAAACCUUUUUUUGUUUUGUUUAAUGAGAUAUAUUGUCUAACUGUUACUACAUCAUUUGUUACAUCUGUACUUACGCUGUUUACCCUUAUAAAUAUUUGUGAAUUUAUAGAUUUUCUUCUGCCUCAACAUUUGGCACCUUCAAAUCAAGGAAAAUUCAUUGGGGAGGAACUUUCAAAUGUUGGAUUUUGUCGUCUUUAACUCAUACAUGUUGCAUUAUCCGAUCCAGGUAUCAAGCCCAGCUUCAAAGGAAUCUCCUGUAUCUAGCUGCAAUUGCAGACGCACAACCACAGGCACAUGCUGUUCGUCCUCAGGUCAGGCAUCAUUUCCAUGGGAUCUAUAUGUGCUGUUGUUUGAGAUCACACGUUGUCUCAUAAUUCUUGUUAGCAGAUGAUGCCACAGGGAGGUCAUUUCAUGCAACAGGCGCCAGUUUUCCCACCCAGAGUUCCACUGCAGUUCCCACAGCAAAGGCCGGAGCAGCAUCUGCACCACCAAGUCCAAGCAAUGCCUUUCCCGGUCCAAAUGGACAUGAGGACGGGAGCCAUGAACGACAUGCACCCCCUGCCGCCCUCUCAUGCUGCUACCCUUCGGCAGCCUCACGAUGGACAGGGAAGCAAGCAAGACGCAUCCGCGGCCGACCUAGGAGCCAGGGAACCAGAACAGAGCCAUGCGAAGAGGCCCGAAGACUUGAAGACGCCAUGAUCUCGCUGUCUCUCUGUCGUACUAAGUCUGUGUCGCAAAUGUAUUUGAAACGCUAGUGUUGUAUCGCCCUCUGUUUGAUUGACUCUGCCACUGAAUCCUCGAUAGCUGCUAAGGAAUGACACUUUUCAUCUCGGUGUUGUGGUUUUGGUGUUUUGAGGUCUGCCGUGUGGUCGCGGAAGGCUCACCGUUCCUCCAUCGCUUCUCUCUCCUCCGUGUCACCCUUUUUUCUGUUGCGGGGAUCUUGUGCCUGUGCGCCAUAUAACUUGCUAUGGGCCCCGCAAAUUUUGUCCAAUCAUGGGAUUGGUAGGCGAGCGGGUAUCGUUAGCCCUUUCUCAGAUGAGGCUUGCUCAAUAAAUGCAUAUUAUAUGCGUCGACCGUCGCAUACUGCAUCGUUCUGCCUCUCUUGUCUCUCCGUCUCUCUCGAUUGCGGAUUUCACCUUUUGCCCUUGGAACUUCUCCGCGUUUAGGAUCCGAGGAGCAGAUCGGAGAUCGGAUCCAUGGCGGAAACGCCGCCGCCCUUCCAGGAAUCCUCCCGCUGCGACGUCUGCAACUGUAGCUUCACCACCUUCCGCCGCCGGGUACCUUGUUCCCUAUCGAGAGAGAUAUUACGCUUUUUCUCGCGUGUCUAUUUCUAUGAUGCCAAAAGCAAUUGUCGAUGCGGGUGGAUCGAAUUUAGCUAGUAUCAGGCAAUACGACACCGGAGAUUGCUGCUAGCCCUCUCCUAGGCCAAACUUUUCCAGUUUCUAGGUGUUUGUGAUAUUGACAGGAUUGAUUUUUAACUGGGGUGCAUAGUUGCACUAUUUUCAUUACAGAAUUCUUAUGAUGCUACGGAUCGUUCAAUAAAUACUGAAUAUUUUUUUUCAAUUGCAUUACUGUUAUUCAUUUUUAUUUCUUCCCUGGAUCAUCGUCUCGUGUUAAUUGAUGGUGUUGACUGACUAUGUGGUGUUCGUGAGUCAGCCCCUUUGUUCUAUUAUGUGUUCCUUUUUUUUUCGCUUUUUGUACAUUAAUGGACUAAAUCCGUCGACAUUUGGCUAUUCGUUAUAAACGGAGUUUAAGUUCUUUAUGUGCUUCAAGCAGAUUAGUUGCUAAGAGUUAAUAUAAAAAGGAGAAAUGCCACAUAUUGCCAUAAGUUAGUUGCAUGCUAAAUUUAUUUUACCUUAUAAUAUUUUGAUGAAUGAUGUUGUUAAGUCCAAAAUUUCUCAUUAGUUUCUUGAUGUAACUAAUUGAUGUGGAAGCAGAAAUCAUGCCGUGAAAUUUCUGACAUAGAUAUGUAGUUUGACUUUUUUACUUAUACCAGCUUGUGUCUUGUUUUUCACUGGAUGUGAGUCGAUCAUUGUGACUUAAUCAUAGGGUUGGUAGAAACUCGUUGCCUUCUAAGAUAUGGUCCAUGCUUACCCUCCUACAAGAAUCAGGCAUUUACUGAGCCUCGGAUUAAUGGGUCCUAAUAAGUUCUAGUCUGUGGCUGAGGAUACUUCUGCUGCCUUGAUUACACCAAAACAUGCAUCACUUUUGAUGCAUGAAGUGACAAAUUACAAAUAACGUGAAUUCUCAGGGAGACAUGGGAGGUUCUUGCAAAUGCACGAUUUUUGUCAUCUAGUAGUGUUUUUACAAGUAUUCUGAAAAUAUGAUUAUAUUACUUUUCACAUGAGCACUUGGACAUAGGAUAAAUGUGCAGCAUAUGAUUUGUAGGUAUGUUUGAUAUGUUAAUUGAUAAUAUUUGGUUUAAGUUCUGCAAGUUCCUAUACAUAAUUUUAUUAUUUUUUCUAUGUUUUAAAGAUAAAUGUGUCACUCAUUUGGUAAUAUUUAUGUACAGCAUCAUUGUCGAUGUUGUGGCAGGACACUCUGUCAUGAACAUUCAUCAAACUACAUGGUACUUGCCUCUAGUACCUAUCUUGGUUUUAAUGUAAAUACACAUAAGCCUGAGACCAAUAUGUGUUGCUAAGAUACUACUUAUCUUUUUAGGCUUUACCGCAAUUUGGCAUUUACUCUGACGUCAGAGUCUGCUCCGACUGUUUAAACAAUUCCCCUCGGUAAAUUUUUUGCCCCUUUUUUUUUCCUGUAUCAUUCUUAGUUUAACGAGGUUUGCCCCUAUUAUCUUUUUUCCCUUAUAAAUCCUAUUAAAUGCUUGCUUGUAAUUUGCUGUGCAUUACAAAUGGUCUUCUUUAGACGAGCUGAAAAUCUGUCAUUUACUGAAGGUAGUUUAAUGCUACGUGUUAAACAUAGAACUUUGACAGCUUUCUUUUAUCAGCUCACACAAAAUUGAUGAACGUUUACUAGCUUUUCAUUUGUUUUGCCCCUAGGCUUCUAUUUGGUCAUCGCGAUGGCAAUGGUUGCUAUUCUUGUUUUCACAUUGAAUUGAUGAAUCCUUAUAACUUUUCCUUUAUCCUUGCUCUUGGCUUAGAGUUUGGUAUAGGACUAUUGUUGGUCGACUCAAACUCACAAACAAGAUGCCUCAAUUUCAGAGAGAUGACAUUGACCUGAUAUUCUGCUUUAGGAGAUAUCAAAUGACUUUUCUUUAUAAACUAGAUUUUCUUUUUAUUUGUUAUUCAUACCAAUCAUGUGGGUUUUAUACAAAAUGAUGCUUCCUAAAUUCGUUCUUUAGGUCUCAAAAAGAUGAUACACAGGCUUUGGCAAAUUCCUCUGAUGUUGGAGCAGACUCAAUUUCAAGAUUGACACUGCAUGAAAACACUGACUUAGUGGCUAAAGCAACUUCAGGUGAAUCCAUAGUAGGUGUUCCUGAGUGCAAGUGUGGGAUGCCUUUGUGCAUAUGUGUAACUCCAACACCAGAACCAGCUCCCAUGCAGGUAGAUUCUUAUUACAAUUCGCUUGAGCCACUGCUAUUUGCAUCAACUUAGCUGCUUAAUUGUAGAUGCAGGGCACUACCAUGUUAAACAUACAGUCCAACCCAAAACCAAGGAAGACUAGUAGCAGCCAGCAACCGGCAGAAUCCAUUUCAAGGAAGCAUGCUGCUACUUCAUCCAGCAAGCCAAGGUCACCCAUCAUCUGUUUGUCCCAAGUUUUCCAGCAUAAGCACUUAAAAUUGAGUUCUGUAACAUUUUUGUUAAAAACAUUUACAGCUCAUUUUUCAACCUUGGUCAAGCGAGCAACAAUGCCGUAGAUGAGGCUUGUGCAAAUUAUGAUGUCAGCGGAGAGGUAAAGUGUAAUAGGUUGUGUUUCUGUCUCAUGGUUACAUAUCAUUCAAUUCUAGAAAAUAUAACUAAGGUGAUACUUGUUUUUCUUCAGGGCUUAAGAGAAGCAAUUAAGAACAGUGAUUCUACAGCCGUCAGAGAACUUCUUAGUAAGGUAUAUAUGUUCUUGAUUUUCUUGCUCUGCACAUCUUUGAUACAAAGAUGACGUUUUGUUUCUGGGACAGGGGGUGGAUCCAAACUACUGUGACAAGCAAGGCUUGACAUUGCUACAUCUUGUAUGUAUUCCCUCUAAUAAGAUGAAAAUGGUUCUUGCAGGUGUUUUCCUAUAUAUUUGGCAUGCGUAAAUCGGUUGAAGCAUCUUUUUUUGAGAGAAUAAAAAACAUCUACGAAAACCUUUUAAGUUAGCCAGUUCAUUUAUUAGAUAUUCUCCUGGUCUCUGUUUCUUCAGCAAUCUCAGUUGUUUGGUUAGUGAUUAUUUAGAGUUUUCAAAAUUCAUCACACCUUGCAAAAUUCAAGCUUUAUGAUCUUCUUAGGGAUCAUGGUUCGCAAGCCUUGGAUUUCAAAUAUUGCCAUCAUUAAAUAAAAGCACCAUUUACUUGAAUCAAUCUAC
rnacentral:lncRNA from 1 species